rnacentral:rRNA from 1 species
UACGUAGGGUGCGAGCGUUGUCCGGAAUUACUGGGCGUAAAGAGCUCGUAGGUGGUUUGUCGCGUUGUUCGUGAAAACUCACAACUCAAUUGUGGGCGUGCGGGCGAUGACGGGCAGACUGGAGUACUGCAGGGGAGACUGGAAUUCCUGGUGUAGCGGUGGAAUGCGCAGAGUAUCAGGAGGAACACCGGUGGCGAAGGCGG